rnacentral:rRNA from 1 species
GUUUGAUCCUGGCUCAGAACGAACGCUGGCGGCAGCCUAACACAUGCAAGUCGAGCGCGCCCUUCGGGGUGAGCGGCGGACGGGUUAGUAACGCGUGGGAACGUGCCCAGAUCUAAGGAAUAGCCACUGGAAACGGUGAGUAAUACCUUAUACGCCCUUCGGGGGAAAGAUUUAUCGGAUUUGGAUCGGCCCCGCGUUAGAUUAGGUAGUUGGUGGGGUAAUGGGCCUACCAAGCCUACGAUCUAUAGCUGGUUUUAGAGGAUGAUCAGCAACACUGGGACUGAGACACGGCCCAGACUCCCACGGGAGGCAGCAGUGGGGAAUCUUGGACAAUGGGGGCAGCCCUGAUCCAGCCAUGCCGCGUGAGUGAUGAAGGCCUUAGGGUCGUAAAGCUCUUUCGCCUGUGAUGAUAAUGACAGUAGCAGGUAAAGAAACCCCGGCUAACUCCGUG